rnacentral:lncRNA from 1 species
CCUUGUUUAUUGGGAGGAGCUCUCUGCUGCCCCAGGAAUGGGCUGAUUUCCUGAGUACACAUUAAUCUGAGCUCCCUCAGCCCUAGGGGUAGGGGGAUUGGGGGCACAAGAUGGGUGGAGCCAGAUAGGGAAGAUUCCCCCAGUGUUGUCCUGCUCCCAGUCCAGGUUUGGGACAAUGCCGGCAGCGUUUCCCUGUGUCUUUCCCCCACAAAGUCUCCAAGUCUUUCCUCAAAUGAUCGUCAAGGUUUGGGAGAAACAAUCUCUUCCUCUGCCCGGGUUGCGUGGAUCUCCAGUGGAAAGGCUUUAUCUACCAAGAAAUGAAUUGGAUAAUCCACAUAAACAAAAAGCUUGGAAAAUUUAUCCACCAGAAUUUGCCGUGGAGAUACUUUUUGGGAACGGGUCACGCAUGUGGAUGAUCAAAGGUCAGCUCCUGGUCAAUAUGAGAAGACUGGUUUCAGAAAAGUUGAGUGCUGAAGACUACAAAGCUGUUUGUAAGUUAUCAAGCUAGGAUUUGAUCCCAGGUCUGCCUGAUAAAUCCUGGACUCUUAACCAUGACAUAGGAGUGCCCUCUUGACUCCUAUGAUGGCAUAAAGAAUUGUAUCAGAACGGGUAAUCUGGCAUUAAAACCCCUGUGCCACAAC